GAUCCUGGCUCAGGACGAACGCUGGCGGCGUGCCUAAUACAUGCAAGUCGAACGAGAGCGACCGGUGCUUGCACUGGUCAAUCUAGUGGCGAACGGGUGAGUAACACGUGGGUAACCUGCCCAUCAGAGGGGGAUAACAUUCGGAAACGGAUGCUAAAACCGCAUAAGUCCUUUAACCGCAUGGUUGAAGGAGGAAAAGAGGCGCAAGCUUCUGCUGAUGGAUGGACCCGCGGUGCAUUAG
rnacentral:rRNA from 1 species